CAAUAGCGUAUAUUUAAGUUGUUGCAGUUAAAAAGCUCGUAGUUGGAUUUCGGGUAGGAUUUGCCGGUCCGUCUUUGAGAUGUGUACUGGUAAGUCCUAUCUUCUUGUCGGGGACCAGCUCCUGGGCCUCACUGUCCGGGACUGGGAGCCGACGAAGUUACUUUGAGUAAAUUAGAGUGUUCAAAGCAAGCCUACGCUCUGAAUAUAUUAGCAUGGAAUAACACGAUAGGACUCUGGCUUAUCUUGUUGGUCUGUGAGACCAGAGUAAUGAUUAAGAGGGACAGUCGGGGACAUUCGUAUUUCAUUGUCAGAGGUGAAAUUCUUGGAUUUAUGAAAGACGAACUUCUGUGAAAGCAUUUGUCAAGGAUGUUUUCAUUAA
rnacentral:rRNA from 1 species